UACGAGGUGCAGCGUAAGUCGAAUCACGUGGGCGUAAGCGCUCGUAGGUCGGCGUUUGUAAGUCAGGUGGUGAAAGCCCACGGCUCAACCGUGGAAUUGCACUUGAUACUGCAUUGCUUGAGUUCGGGAGAGGGGUAGUGGAAUUCCAGGUGUAGGAGUGAAAUCCGUAGAGAUCUGGAGGAACACCAGUGGCGAAGGCGACUACCUGGACCGAUACUGACACUGAGGAGCGAAAGCGUGGGGAGCAAACAGGAUUAGAUACCCCUGUAGU
rnacentral:rRNA from 1 species